UCUGGUGGCGAGUGGCGAACGGGUGAGUAAUGUAUCGGAACGUGCCUAGUAGCGGGGGAUAACUACGCGAAAGCGUAGCUAAUACCGCAUACGCCCUACGGGGGAAAGCAGGGGAUCGCAAGACCUUGCACUAUUAGAGCGGCCGAUAUCGGAUUAGCUAGUUGGUGGGGUAACGGCUCACCAAGGCGACGAUCCGUAUCUGGUUUGAGAGGACGACCAGCCACACUGGGACUGAGACACGGCCCAGACUCCUACGGGAGGCAGCAGUGGGGAAUUUUGGACAAUGGGGGAAACCCUGAUCCAGCCAUCCCGCGUGUGCGAUGAAGGCCUUCGGGUUGUAAAGCACUUUUGGCAGGAAAGAAACGUCAUGGGCUAAUACCCCGUGAAACUGACGGUACCUGCAGAAUAAGCACCGGCUAACUACGUGCCAGCAGCCGCGGUAAUACGUAGGGUGCAAGCGUUAAUCGGAAUUACUGGGCGUAAAGCGUGCGCAGGCGGUUCGGAAAGAAAGAUGUGAAAUCCCAGAGCUUAACUUUGGAACUGCAUUUUUA
rnacentral:rRNA from 1 species